AACGAACGCUGGCGGCAUGCCUAACACAUGCAAGUCGAGCGCCGUAGCAAUACGGAGCGGCGCACGGGUGAGUAACGCGUGGGAACCUGCCCAGAGGUUCGGGACAACCGCGGGAAACUGCGGCUGAUACCGGAUGAUACCUGAGGGUCAAAGAUUUAUCGCCUUUGGAGGGGCCCGCGUCAGAUUAGGUAGUUGGUGGGGUAACGGCCUACCAAGCCUGGGAUCUGUAGCUGGUCUGAGAGGAUGACCAGCCACACUGGGACUGAGACACGGCCCAGACUCCUACGGGAGGCAGCAGUGGGGAGUAUUGGACAAUGGGGGCAACCCUGAUCCAGCAAUGCCGCGUGGGUGAUGAAGGCCUUCGGGUUGUAAAGCCCUUUCGGCGGGGACGAUGAUGACGGUACCCGCAGAAGAAGCCCCGGCUAACUUCGUGCCAGCCGCCGCAGUAA
rnacentral:rRNA from 1 species